rnacentral:rRNA from 1 species
CGCGUAGGCGGACAGCUAAGUCAGGGGUGAAAUCCCGAGGCUCAACCUCGGAAUUGCCCUUGAUACUGGUUGUCUUGAGAUCGGAAGAGGUAAGUGGAAUUGCGAGUGUAGAGGUGAAAUUCGUAGAUAUUCGCAAGAACACCAGUGGCGAAGGCGGCUCACUGGGCCAUUACUGACGCUGAGGCACGAAAGCGUGGGAGCAAACA